rnacentral:rRNA from 1 species
UACGUAGGGUGCAAGCGUUAAUCGGAAUUACUGGGCGUAAAGCGUGCGCAGGCGGCUUUGCAAGACAGAUGUGAAAUCCCCGGGCUUAACCUGGGAACUGCAUUUGUGACUGCAUGGCUGGAGUGCGGCAGAGGGGGAUGGAAUUCCGCGUGUAGCAGUGAAAUGCGUAGAUAUGCGGAGGAACACCGAUGGCGAAGGCAGCCCCCUGGGCCAAUACUGACGCUCAGGCACGAAAGCGUGGGGAGCAAACAGG